GUCCGGGUGACGAGACCCAAAUAGGACGAAAUGUGCGUCCUGGAU
rnacentral:hammerhead_ribozyme from 1 species